GUGGGGAAUCUUGGGCAAUGGGCGAAAGCCUGACCCAGCGACGCCGCGUGGGGGAGGAAGUCCUUCGGGACGUAAACCCUACAAGUGAGGGACGAAUAAUAUUGAGAUAAUAUCUCAAUUGAUGACGGUACCUCAUGUAAGCCCCGGCUAACUACGUGCCAGCAGCCGCGGUAAUACGUAGGGGGCGAGCGUUGUCCGGAAUUACUGGGCGUAAAGCGCGCGUAGGCGGUUUGGUAAGUCGGUUGUGGAAGCCUCGGGCUCAACUCGAGAAUGGCGACCGAAACUACCGGGCUUGAGUGCGGUAGAGGGUGCUGGAAUUCCUGGUGUAGCGGUGAAAUGCAUAGAUAUCAGGAAGAACACCGGUGGCGAAGGCGGGCACCUGGGCCGUUACUGACGCUGAGGCGCGAAAGCUAGGGGAGCAAACCGGAUUAGAAACCCGAGUAGUCC
rnacentral:rRNA from 1 species